UAGGGAAUAUUGGGCAAUGGAGGGAACUCUGACCCAGCCAUGCCGCGUGCAGGAUGAAGGCGUUAUGCGUUGUAAACUGCUUUUAUAUAGGAAGAAAUAGUCCUUGCGAGGAAAGUUGACGGUACUAUAUGAAUAAGCACCGGCUAACUCCGUGCCAGCAGCCGCGGUAAUACGGAGGGUGCAAGCGUUGUCCGGAUUUAUUGGGUUUAAAGGGUGCGUAGGCGGUUUAUUAAGUCAGUGGUGAAAGACGGUCGCUCAACGAUUGCAGUGCCAUUGAUACUGGUAGACUUGAGUAUGAUUGAGGUAGCUGGAAUGGAUAGUGUAGCGGUGAAAUGCAUAGAUAUUAUCCAGAACACCAAUUGCGUAGGCAAGUUACUAAGUCAUAACUGACGCUGAGGCACGAAAGUGUGGGUAUCAAACAGGAUUAGAUACCCUCGUAGUCCCUGAGCGGGCUGGCAAGGCGCAU
rnacentral:rRNA from 1 species